CCUGGCGGCACUAGCGCGGUGGUCCCACCUGACCCCAUGACGAACUCAGAAGUGAAACGCCGUAGCGCCGAUGGUAGUGUGGGGUCUCCCCAUGCGAGAGUAGGGAACUGCCAGGC
rnacentral:rRNA from 3 species